ensembl:misc_RNA Y_RNA Y RNA
CGUGGGUCCGAGUGCAGUGGUGUUUACACUUAAUUGAUCACAGCCAGUUACAGAUUUCUUUGUUCCUUCUCCACUCCCACUGCUUCACUUGACUAGCCUUAA